rnacentral:rRNA from 1 species
CGUGCCAGCAGCCGCGGUAAUACGGAGGAUCCAAGCGUUAUCCGGAAUCAUUGGGUUUAAAGGGUCCGUAGGCGGUCUUAUAAGUCAGUGGUGAAAUCUCCCCGCUCAACGGGGAAACGGCCAUUGAUACUGUAGGACUUGAAUUAUUAGGAAGUAACUAGAAUAUGUAGUGUAGCGGUGAGAUGCUUAGAGAUUACAUGGAAUACCAAUUGCGAAGGCAGGUUACUACUAAUGGAUUGACGCUGAUGGACGAAAGCGUGGGUAGCGAACAGGAUUAGAUACCCUGGUAGUCCACGCCGUAAACGAUGGAUACUAGCUGUUGGGUGCAAACUCAGUGGCUAAGCGAAAGUGAUAAGUAUCCCACCUGGGGAGUACGUUCGCAAGAAUGAAACUCAAAGGAAUUGACGGGGGCCCGCACAAGCGGUGGAGCAUGUGGUUUAAUUCGAUGAUACGCGAGGAACCUUACCAAGGCUUAAAUGUAGAUUGACCGGUUUGGAAACAGACUUUUCGCAAGACAAUUUACAAGGUGCUGCAUGGUUGUCGUCAGCUCGUGCCGUGAGGUGUCAGGUUAAGUCCUAUAACGAGCGCAACCCCUGUUGUUGGUUGCCAGCGAGCGAAGUCGGGUAACU